GUGCGACAACUGCAGUGGAUGAAGAACAACAAUUUUCAGAUUUUACUUAUCUCCAAUAACACAGGAGGAGAUCUUCUAUGUUUCAACGUCUAUAUCCCCCCCGUGUGUACUUCCUCUCAGACAGUACAAAUCUGGGAAGAUUUGGAGUCAUGCUUGGAGAAGGCCAAAAUAGAAUUCCCUGACUGGAACAUCCUGCUGGCAGGUGAUUUUAACGCCAGGAUAGGCAGCGACAUCAAUUCGUAUAGCUCCAAAACCCAGUUUCUACCAGAGGCAGACUGGCUUAUCCCUUGGAGUUCUGAUGAAAAGGUCUUGAACAAGG